rnacentral:rRNA from 1 species
AGAGUUUGAUCAUGGCUCAGAUUGAACGCUGGCGGCAGGCCUAACACAUGCAAGUCGAACGGUAACAGGAAGCAGCUUGCUGCUUCGCUGACGAGUGGCGGACGGGUGAGUAAUGUCUGGGAAGCUGCCUGAUGGAGGGGGAUAACUACUGGAAACGGUAGCUAAUACCGCAUAAUGUCGCAAGACCAAAGAGGGGGACCUUCGGGCCUCUUGCCAUCGGAUGUGCCCAGAUGGGAUUAGCUUGUUGGUGGGGUAACGGCUCACCAAGGCGACGAUCCCUAGCUGGUCUGAGAGGAUGACCAGCCACACUGGAACUGAGACACGGUCCAGACUCCUACGGGAGGCAGCAGUGGGGAAUAUUGCACAAUGGGCGCAAGCCUGAUGCAGCCAUGCCGCGUGUAUGAAGAAGGCCUUCGGGUUGUAAAGUACUUUCAGCGGGGAGGAAGGGAGUAAAGUUAAUACCUUUGCUCAUUGACGUUACCCGCAGAAGAAGCACCGGCUAACUCCGUGCCAGCAGCCGCGGUAAUACGGAGGGUGCAAGCGUUAAUCGGAAUUACUGGGCGUAAAGCGCACGCAGGCGGUUUGUUAAGUCAGAUGUGAAAUCCCCGGGCUCAACCUGGGAACUGCAUCUGAUACUGGCAAGCUUGAGUCUCGUAGAGGGGGGUAGAAUUCCAGGUGUAGCGGUGAAAUGCGUAGAGAUCUGGAGGAAUACCGGUGGCGAAGGCGGCCCCCUGGACGAAGACUGACGCUCAGGUGCGAAAGCGUGGGGAGCAAAACAGGAUUAGAUACCCUGGUAGUCCACGCCGUAAACGAUGUCGACUUGGAGGUUGUGCCCUUGAGGCGUGGCUUCCGGAGCUAACGCGUUAAGUCGACCGCCUGGGGAGUACGGCCGCAAGGUUAAAACUCAAAUGAAUUGACGGGGGCCCGCACAAGCGGUGGAGCAUGUGGUUUAAUUCGACGCAACGCGAAGAACCUUACCUGGUCUUGACAUCCACGGAAGUUUUCAGAGAUGAGAAUGUGCCUUCGGGAACCGUGAGACAGGUGCUGCAUGGCUGUCGUCAGCUCGUGUUGUGAAAUGUUGGGUUAAGUCCCGCAACGAGCGCAACCCUUAUCCUUUGUUGCCAGCGGUCCGGCCGGGAACUCAAAGGAGACUGCCAGUGAUAAACUGGAGGAAGGUGGGGAUGACGUCAAGUCAUCAUGGCCCUUACGACCAGGGCUACACACGUGCUACAAUGGCGCAUACAAAGAGAAGCGACCUCGCGAGAGCAAGCGGACCUCAUAAAGUGCGUCGUAGUCCGGAUUGGAGUCUGCAACUCGACUCCAUGAAGUCGGAAUCGCUAGUAAUCGUGGAUCAGAAUGCCACGGUGAAUACGUUCCCGGGCCUUGUACACACCGCCCGUCACUCCAUGGGAGUGGGUUGCAAAAGAAGUAGGUAGCUUAACCUUCGGGAGGGCGCUUACCACUUUGUGAUUCAUGACUGGGGUGAAGUCGUAACAAGGUA